AGGUUUGUUUUUCUCCGGUACAGCCUGGUAGGGAGGGCUCCCGGCAUCUCCCUGCUUCGGGGCAGAGGAUGCCGGGGGUAGAGUACGGGAGGGCUGGAGCGAGGGUGGACUGGAGGUGCCGCUUGUCCUGGAGGUGGGAGAGAGGGAGCGGCUUUGCCGCCUGGCCUGCGUCCUAAUCCUGUCCUGGUUCUUCUGCUCCCGAAGGGAACGUAGGUCCCGCGCCUGUGAUAAAAUCUCGCUGUCUCCUUCCAACCACCUGUGGUCGGCAUCCCCGCGUUGUCACUGCGACGCAGAGGCGAGCGAGGUCGCAGCUUCAUGGCCUGAUGCCUUCAGGAAGUAUUUUGAAGUCAUCGUGGCUGUGGAUUGGGGGAUUUCUUGUUUCCACUGACCUGUGAGGCCGCGCACGUGGAGGGAGGCACCCCGGGUCCUCCGGCACUGUCCGGCCUCGCCUGUGUCCCUAGUAGCAGUGGGCAUUUCCAGACGGUGCAGCUUGUGGCUAAAGUGACAGGAAGAUGUAGGAGCUUUCAGUCUUGGAUGAGGAUUCGAACUGAAGGGCUUAGGCCCAGCUGUCUUGGAGCAAAACAUCUGUUGUGGGAUGUGGCGGCAGAGGAGGGCAAGGCCGAAGGAGCAGACAGCACCGCUUCUUGGGGAGUUGUGAAGGCAUCAUGCGGAGGGCCGAGCUUAGCAGCCAAGUGGAGGACAGCACCCUCCAUGCCUGGAUUCGUUACUCGCUCGUUCUCGAUGUUGAGCUGCUGGCAUAUUGCAGCACAACUAGAGAUGUACGGAUGCCCCCAUCUUGAUCUUACAGAAUCAGAGGUGCAGCCGCAAGAAAGGUCUCUACACCCUCUCGGUUUUCUCUGCUCUGCCAACACUAGUGGAAUAUGAUCACAUCCCAGGGAUCAGUGUCAUUUAGGGAUGUGACUAUGGGCUUCACUCAAGAGGAGUGGCAUCAUCUGGACCCUGCUCAGAGGACCCUGUAGAGGAAUGUGAUGCUGGAGAACUACAGCCACCUUGUCUCAGUAGGGUAUUGCAUUCCUAAACCAGAAGUGAUCCUCAAAUUGGAGACAGGCAAGGAGCCAUGGAUAUUAGAGGAAAAAUUUCGAAGCCAGAGUCAUCUGGGUGAGUUAGUGCCAGAUGGAAUUUAAAGAAUUAAUUAAUACCAGUAGAAACUAUUCAAGAAUGAAGUUCAAUGAGUUUAACAAAGGUGGAAAAUGUUUCUGUGAUGAAAGCAUGAAAUAAUUCAUUUUGAAGAGGAACCUUCUGAAUAUAAUAACAAUGGGAACAGCUUCUGGCUGAAUGAAGACCUCAUUUGGCAUCAGAAGAUUAAAAAUUGGGAGCAACCUUUUGAAUACAAUGAAUGUGGGAAAGCUUUCCCUGAGAAUUCACUCUUCCUUGUACAUAAGAGAGCUUACACAGGACAGAAAACAUGCAAAUAUACUGAACAUGGGAAAA
ensembl:lncRNA ZNF37BP zinc finger protein 37B, pseudogene